UACAGGAGGGGCAAGCGUUGUUCGGAAUUACUGGGCGUAAAGGGCGCGUAGGCGGCCCGCUAAGUCGAACGUGAAAUCCCCGAGCUCAACUCGGGAACUGCGUCCGAUACGUGGUGGCUUGAAUCCGGGAGAGGGAUGCGGAAUUCCAGGUGUAGCGGUGAAAUGCGUAGAUAUCAGGAGGAACACCGGUGGCGAAGGCGGGUCUCUGGGCCGAUACUGACGCUGAGGAGCGAAAGCAUGGGUAGCGAACAGG
rnacentral:rRNA from 1 species